rnacentral:rRNA from 1 species
UACGUAGGGUGCAAGCGUUAUCCGGAAUUAUUGGGCGUAAAGAGCUCGUAGGCGGUUUGUCGCGUCUGCUGUGAAAACCGGAGGCUCAACCUCCGGCCUGCAGUGGGUACGGGCAAACUAGAGUGCGGUAGGGGAGAUUGGAAUUCCUGGUGUAGCGGUGGAAUGCGCAGAUAUCAGGAGGAACACCGGUGGCGAAGGCGGGUCUCUGGGCCGUAACUGACGCUGAGGAGCGAAAGCGUGGGGAGCAAACAGG